UAGGGAAUCUUCGGCAAUGGGGGCAACCCUGACCGAGCAACGCCGCGUGAGUGAAGAAGGUUUUCGGAUCGUAAAGCUCUGUUGUAAGAGAAGAACGUGUGUGAGAGUGGAAAGUUCACACAGUGACGGUAACUUACCAGAAAGGGACGGCUAACUACGUGCCAGCAGCCGCGGUAAUACGUAAGUCCCGAGCGUUGUCCGGAUUUAUUGGGCGUAAAGCGAGCGCAGGCGGUUUAAUAAGUCUGAAGUUAAAGGCAGUGGCUUAACCAUUGUUCGCUGUGGAAACUGUUAAGCUUGAGUGCAGAAGGGGAGAGUGGAAUUCCAUGUGUAGCGGUGAAAUGCGUAGAUAUAUGGAGGAACACCGGUGGCGAAAGCGGCUCUCUGGUCUGUAACUGACGCUGAGGCUCGAAAGCGUGGGGAGCAAACAGG
rnacentral:rRNA from 1 species